rnacentral:rRNA from 1 species
GAUGAACGCUGGCGGCGUGCCUAAUACAUGCAAGUCGAGCGAACGGACGAGAAGCUUGCUUCUCUGAUGUUAGCGGCGGACGGGUGAGUAACACGUGGAUAACCUACCUAUAAGACUGGGAUAACUUCGGGAAACCGGAGCUAAUACCGGAUAAUAUUUUGAACCGCAUGGUUCAAAAGUGAAAGACGGUCUUGCUGUCACUUAUAGAUGGAUCCGCGCUGCAUUAGCUAGUUGGUAAGGUAACGGCUUACCAAGGCAACGAUGCAUAGCCGACCUGAGAGGGGGAUCGGCCACACUGGAGCUGAGACACGGUCCAGACUCCUACGGGAGGCAGCAGUAGGGAAUGUGCCGCAGUGGGCGAGAGCCUGACGGAGCGGCGCCGCGUGAGUGAUGGAGGUCUUCGGAUCGUAAAACUCUGUUAUGAGGGAAGAACAGAUGUGGAAGUAACUGUGCACAGCUUGACGGUACCUAGUCAGAAAGCCACGGCUAACUACGUG